UUAAGUGAAAAUGCUUAAAUGACUAAUUAGACGAUAAGACCCUAUAGAGCUUUAUAUAUGUAUUCUGUUAAGUAUUAAAAUUUUUAUUAGUUAAUAACCUAGGUUGUAUAUUUUAUUGGGGCAAUAAAAGAAUAAAAUUAACUUCUUAUUAAUAAAUUUUAUUUAAUUAAUUAACUUUUAAUAUAAAAUUUAAUAGAAGUUACCUUAGGGAUAACAGCGUUAUUAAAGUUGAGAGUUCUUAUCGACACUUUAGAUUGCGACCUCGAUGUUGAAUUAAAAAUUCUUUGAGGGGCAGCAUUUUUAUUAGAUGGUCUGUUCGACCAUUAAAUUUUUACAUGAUUUGAGUUCAAACCGGUGUGAGCCAGGUUGGUUUCUAUCUCUUAGUU
rnacentral:ncRNA from 1 species